AGAACGAACGCUGGCGGCAUGCCUAAUACAUGCAAGUCGAACGAACUCUUCGGAGUUAGUGGCGCACGGGUGCGUAACGCGUGGGAAUCUGCCCCUUGGUUCGGAAUAACAGUUGGAAACGACUGCUAAUACCGGAUGAUGACGAAAGUCCAAAGAUUUAUCGCCAAGGGAUGAGCCCGCGUAGGAUUAGCUAGUUGGUGAGGUAAAGGCUCACCAAGGCAACGAUCCUUAGCUGGUCUGAGAGGAUGAUCAGCCACACUGGGACUGAGACACGGCCCAGACUCCUACGGGAGGCAGCAGUAGGGAAUAUUGGACAAUGGGCGAAAGCCUGAUCCAGCAAUGCCGCGUGAGUGAUGAAGGCCUUAGGGUUGUAAAGCUCUUUUACCCGAGAUGAUAAUGACAGUAUCGGGAAGAAUAACGCCCCGGCUAACUCCGUGUCAGCAGCCGAC
rnacentral:rRNA from 1 species